ACCUCAGAUCAGGUAGGGAUACCCGCUGAACUUAA
rnacentral:rRNA from 1 species